rnacentral:rRNA from 1 species
GAGCGAAGCGACGUCAAACCGAUAAAACAGCAGUGUAAAGUGAGCCGCAGGGCGCUUUGCGCGACAGCGCAAAGGCAGGCGGUUUCGCGUAGCGAAAGCGAAUGCUUUGGGGUGGGGUGACUGCGUACCUUUUGUAUAAUGGGUCAGCGACUUAUAUUCUGUAGCAAGGUUAACCGUAUAGGGGAGCCGUAGGGAAACCGAGUCUUAACCGGGCGUUAAGUUGCAGGGUAUAGACCCGAAACCCGGUGAUCUAGCCAUGGGCAGGUUGAAGGUUGGGUAACACUAACUGGAGGACCGAACCGACUAAUGUUGAAAAAUUAGCGGAUGACCUGUGGCUGGGGGUGAAAGGCCAAUCAAACCGGGAGAUAGCUGGUUCUCCCCGAAAGCUAUUUAGGUAGCGCCUCGUGAAUUCAUCUCCGGGGGUAGAGCACUGUUUCGGCUAGGGGGCCAUCCCGGCUUACCAACCCGAUGCAAACUGCGAAUACCGGAGAAUGUUAUCACGGGAGACACACGGCGGGUGCUAACGUCCGUCGUGAAGAGGGAAACAACCCAGACCGCCAGCUAAGGUCCCAAAGUCAUGGUUAAGUGGGAAACGAUGUGGGAAGGCCCAGACAGCCAGGAUGUUGGCUUAGAAGCAGCCAUCAUUUAAAGAAAGCGUAAUAGCUCACUGGUCGAGUCGGCCUGCGCGGAAGAUGUAACGGGGCUAAACCAU